rnacentral:sRNA from 1 species
ACCUUAGGGUUUGCAAGAUUAUAAUAGAAACCGAUAACUAACUUGUUAUUUCUGAAACUAUUUCAGGUACAAAUGGCGUUCGUGGUGAGAUUGAUACCUGGGGAGUGGAAAAGAGAUGAAAACGGAAUUUUCGAACACAUCUCGCAUGUAGAUGGGUUUGAAUUCGGAGUCCGACUGCGUGAGAGAGAUAGUUUUGCGAAGAUUGUUAUGGCGGGAAAAGAUAGAUUAGCGUUAGGGCCAGAUGACGAUAUCGAGUUAACGUACCAGUGGCCACAGUGGAUGCUCGGUCCUGAUUGGAAACGAGCGAACCCAAUUGACAUAUUGGAUGACGAAGAUACGACACUGUUCGUGGCUAUUAGGGCAUAUCUGGAUGAAGUGCAUCUGCUAGUGAAGAUUAUACGAGGUGGAAAUGUUCGAAACGUUAAUAGUUACCGCAGUAACAUGGAUCUAAGCGGUUUGAGUUCGAAAGAAAUAUCGGAUAAAUACUAAAAUUGUGCGGAAACAAGAGCUGUAUGGGGUACCGCGUUAACCAGAAUGCUGUUGCGUAACCUCUCGGGUAAACCUCAAAACCACGUUAAUGAUAAUAUUUAAGUUAUCAAAUAAGUUGGAUAUCUGUUAAUAAUAUUUAGAUUUCAGGAGACGGACAAGAUAUAGCAACCAUGGGGGACACCAACGACGUCGGCAUACGUAAAGAGAUUGAAUAACACAACCCGUAUGGAGGUGUCAUCAUAAGGGAAAACACGGAGAUUGCAGCGGAGACUAGCGAGACGCCAUCGAAAGUACCACAACCAGGGGCAAUUACAAGUUUGAAAGGCAAAGAGAAGGUUAUAGAUGACGAUGAGAGAGAAAAAGAUCGUUUAUUCGAGGUGUGGAGAACAAAUCAACAAGAAGCAAUGUUGCGUGAAAUGUGUUCAAGAGAAAUGUCGCUAAAAGGGAGUCAACCGAGUGAAACAAACGGAUGCGAUAAAGAGAAGACAGCGAGAGCACUAGACUUCGGAAGUACAUAUCAUGCAAACGACAAUGAAAUUGAAAAUUUGCAUUUGACCCUUGUAGGGGCAGAAUCGCAAGCUGUUGGACCACAAAUAGUCGCAUUGUCUUCAAGUGAUUCAACCUUCGGGACGCCAACUUCGAUAUCAACGAGCGUUUCUUUCUGCAGCGAAGACCUAAUGGAUGAUACUGACUCUUCCGACAGCCUUAGCGUAUCGGUGAUAGGUUUGUUAACAAA